UUGAUAAGCGUGAGGUCGGAGGUUCAAGUCCUCCCAGGCCCACCAAUUUAUGCUCGUUUUUUGCUUAUCCAAGAGUAUAAAGCUUAAGCGUAUUAAAGCCUCUUCAAUCUUUGUUUAUUAUUAAAGACUUUAUUUUAUCAUUCAGAGAUUGUUUGUUAAAUUUAUCCCAUUAAGCUUCCAAAGAGGCUUUGUCCCUUCAGUGGUACAGAUAAAUUUACAUGAUACAAAUCAAAACAGGACAGGUAAUUCAAGUUGAUGAAUUUGGUUAUGGUUGAUUUGAGAGAGCAUUAUUUAGGGGCCGUAGCUCAGCUGGGA
rnacentral:misc_RNA from 1 species